AUGAACGCUGGCGGCGUGCUUAACACAUGCCAGUCGAACGAUGAACCUCACUUGUGGGGGGAUUAGUGGCGAACGGGUGAGUAACACGUGAGUAACCUGCCCUUGACUCUGGGAUAAGCCUGGGAAACCGGGUCUAAUACUGGAUACGACCUUCUGGCGCAUGCCAUGUUGGUGGAAAGCUUUUGUGGUUUUGGAUGGACUCGCGGCCUAUCAGCUUGUUGGUGGGGUAAUGGCCUACCAAGGCGACGACGGGUAGCCGGCCUGAGAGGGUGACCGGCCACACUGGGACUGAGACACGGCCCAGACUCCUACGGGAGGCAGCAGUGGGGAAUAUUGCACAAUGGGCGCAAGCCUGAUGCAGCGACGCCGCGUGAGGGAUGAAGGCCUUCGGGUUGUAAACCUCUUUCAGUAGGGAAGAAGCCGGCUUUUGGGUUGGUGACGGUACCUGCAGAAGAAGCGCCGGCUAACUACGUG
rnacentral:rRNA from 1 species